rnacentral:lncRNA from 1 species
UGCCCAUAGGAAUAAACCCUAAACCCUACCCUUAGGGUUAAACCCUAAACCCUACCCUAGGGUUAAACCCUAAACCCUACCCCUAGGGUUAAACCCUAAAACCCUACCCCUAGGGUUAAACCCUAAACCCUACCCUUAGGGUUAAACCCUAAACCCUGCCCAUAGGGUUAAAUCCUAAACCCAACCUAGGAAUAAACCCUACCUUGGAAUAAACCCUAAACCCUACCCCUAGGAAUAAACCCUAAACCCUACCAUAGGGUUAAACCCUAAACCCUACCAUAGGGUUAAACCCUAAACCCUGC